UACGUAGGGUGCAAGCGUUAAUCGGAAUUACUGGGCGUAAAGCGUGCGCAGGCGGUUAUGCAAGACAGAUGUGAAAUCCCCGGGCUCAACCUGGGAAUUGCGAUGGAGACUGCAAGGCUAGAAUCUGGCAGAGGGGGGUAGAAUUCCACGUGUAGCAGUGAAAUGCGUAGAGAUGUGGAGGAACACCGAUGGCGAAGGCAGCCCCCUGGGUCAAGAUUGACGCU
rnacentral:rRNA from 1 species